rnacentral:rRNA from 1 species
ACGAACGCUUGCCGCGUGCUUCACCCCUGCCAGUCGCACGGAAAGGCCCUGCUUUUGUGGGGUGCUCGAGUGGCGAACGGGUGAGUAACACGUGAGUCACCUGCCCUUGACUUUGGGAUAACUUCAGGAAACUGGGGCUAAUACCGGAUAGGAGCUCCUGCUGCAUGGUGGGGGUUGGAAAGUUUCGGCGGUUGGGGAUGGACUCGCGGCUUAUCAGCUUGUUGGUGGGGUAGUGGCUUACCAAGGCUUUGACGGGUAGCCGGCCUGAGAGGGUGACCGGCCGCAUUGGGACUGAGAUACGGCCCAGACUCCUACGGGAGGCAGCAGUGGGGAAUAUUGCACAAUGGGCGGAAGCCUGAUGCAGCAACGCCGCGUGCGGGAUGACGGCCUUCGGGUUGUAAACCGCUUUCGCCUGUGACGAAGCGUGAGUGACGGUAAUGGGUAAAGAAGCACCGGCUAACUACGUG